rnacentral:rRNA from 1 species
GAGGAAUAUUGGUCAAUGGGCGCAAGCCUGAACCAGCCAUCCCGCGUGAAGGAAGAAUGCGCUAUGCGUUGUAAACUUCUUUUCCAGGGGAAUAAAAUUUCGUACGUGUACGGGACUGAAGGUACCUUGGGAAUAAGCAUCGGCUAACUCCGUGCCAGCAGCCGCGGUAAUACGGAGGAUGCGAGCGUUAUCCGGAUUUAUUGGGUUUAAAGGGUGCGUAGGCGGAAAAAUAAGUCAGUGGUGAAAACCUUCAGCUUAACUGGAGACUUGCCAUUGAUACUGUUAUUCUUGAGUAUAGUUAAGGUAGGCGGAAUGUGUAAUGUAGCGGUGAAAUGCUUAGAUAUUACACAGAACACCAAUUGCGAAGGCAGCUUACUGAGCUAUAACUGACGCUGAUGCACGAAAGCGUGGGGAGCGAAC